AUUGAACGCUGGCGGCAGGCCUAACACAUGCAAGUCGAGCGGUUGAAGGGAGCUUGCUCCCUGAUUCAGCGGCGGACGGGUGAGUAAUGCCUAGGAAUCUGCCUAUUAGUGGGGGACAACGUUUCGAAAGGAACGCUAAUACCGCAUACGUCCUACGGGAGAAAGCAGGGGACCUUCGGGCCUUGCGCUAAUAGAUGAGCCUAGGUCGGAUUAGCUAGUUGGUGAGGUAAUGGCCCACCAAGGCGACGACCCGUAACUGGUCUGAGAGGAUGAUCAGUCACACUGGAACUGAGACACGGUCCAGACUCCUACGGGAGGCAGCAGUGGGGAAUAUUGGACAAUGGGCGAAAGCCUGAUCCAGCCGUGCCGCGUGUGUGAAGAAGGUCUUCGGAUUGUAAAGCACUUUAAGUUGGGAGGAAGGGUUGUAGAUUAAUACUCUGCAAUUUUGACGUUACCGACAGAAUAAGCACCGGCUAACUCUGUGCCAGCCGCCGCCGUAAGAC
rnacentral:rRNA from 1 species